rnacentral:rRNA from 1 species
CCUACGGGUGGCUGCAGUGGGGAAUAUUGGACAAUGGGGGGAACCCUGAUCCAGCCAUGCCGCGUGUGUGAAGAAGGCCCUCGGGUUGUAAAGCACUUUCAGUGAGGAAGAACGCCUGGUGGUUAAUACCCAUCAGGAAAGACAUCACUCACAGAAGAAGCACUGGCUAACUCCGUGCCAGCAGCCGCGGUAAUACGGAGGGUGCGAGCGUUAAUCGGAAUUACUGGGCGUAAAGCGCGCGUAGGUGGCUUGAUAAGCCGGUUGUGAAAGCCCCGGGCUCAACCUGGGAACGGCAUCCGGAACUGUCAAGCUAGAGUGCAGGAGAGGAAGGUAGAAUUCCCGGUGUAGCGGUGAAAUGCGUAGAGAUCGGGAGGAAUACCAGUAGCGAAGGCGGCCUUCUGGACUGACACUGACACUGAGGUGCGAAAGCGUGGGUAGCAAACAGGAUUAGAUACCCGUGUAGUC